rnacentral:rRNA from 1 species
GGUUUACCUGUGUGACUGCGUACCUUUUGUAUAAUGGGUCAGCGACUUAUAUUCUGUAGCAAGGUUAACCGAAUAGGGGAGCCGGAGGGAAACCGAGUCUUAACCGGGCGUUAAGUUGCAGGGUAUAGACCCGAAACCCGGUGAUCUAGCCAUGGGCAGGUUGAAGGUUGGGUAACACUAACUGGAGGACCGAACCGACUAAUGUUGAAAAAUUAGCGGAUGACCUGUGGCUGGGGGUGAAAGGCCAAUCAAACCGGGAGAUAGCUGGUUCUCCCCGAAAGCUAUUUAGGUAGCGCCUCGUGAAUUCAUCUCCGGGGGUAGAGCACUGUUUCGGCUAGGGGGCCAUCCCGGCUUACCAACCCGAUGCAAACUGCGAAUACCGGAGAAUGUUAUCACGGGAGACACACGGCGGGUGCUAACGUCCGUCGUGAAGAGGGAAACAACCCAGACCGCCAGCUAAGGUCCCAAAGUCAUGGUUAAGUGGGAAACGAUGUGGGAAGGCCCAGACAGCCAGGAUGUUGGCUUAGAAGCAGCCAUCAUUUAAAGAAAGCGUAAUAGCUCACUGGUCGAGUCGGCCUGCGCGGAAGAUGUAACGGGGCUAAACCAUGCACCGAAGCUGCGGCAGCGACACUGUGUGUUGUUGGGUAGGGGAGCGUUCUGUAAGCCUGUGAAGGUGUGUCGUGAGGCAUGCUGGAGGUAUCAGAAGUGCGAAUGCUGACAUAAGUAACGAUAAAGCGGGUGAAAAGCCCGCUCGCCGGAAGACCAAGGGUUCCUGUCCAACGUUAAUCGGGGCAGGGUGAGUCGACCCCUAAGGCGAGGCCGAAAGGCGUAGUCGAUGGGAAACGGGUUAAUAUUCCCGUACUUGGUGUUACUGCGAAGGGGGGACGGAGAAGGCUAUGUUGGCCGGGCGACGGUUGUCCCGGUUUAAGCGUGUAGGUGUGUGUUCCAGGUAAAUCCGGUUCACUUUAACACUGAGGCGUGACGACGAGGCACUACGGUGCUGAAGCAACAAAUGCCCUGCUUCCAGGAAAAGCCUCUAAGCAUCAGGUAACAUCAAAUCGUACCCCAAACCGACACAGGUGGUCAGGUAGAGAAUACCAAGGCGCUUGAGAGAACUCGGGUGAAGGAACUAGGCAAAAUGGUGCCGUAACUUCGGGAGAAGGCACGCUGACACGUAGGUGAAGUGAUUUACUCAUGGAGCUGAAGUCAGUCGAAGAUACCAGCUGGCUGCAACUGUUUAUUAAAAACACAGCACUGUGCAAACACGAAAGUGGACGUAUACGGUGUGACGCCUGCCCGGUGCCGGAAGGUUAAUUGAUGGGGUCAGCGCAAGCGAAGCUCCUGAUCGAAGCCCCGGUAAACGGCGGCCGUAACUAUAACGGUCCUAAGGUAGCGAAAUUCCUUGUCGGGUAAGUUCCGACCUGCACGAAUGGCGUAAUGAUGGCCAGGCUGUCUCCACCCGAGACUCAGUGAAAUUGAACUCGCUGUGAAGAUGCAGUGUACCCGCGGCAAGACGGAAAGACCCCGUGAACCUUUACUAUAGCUUGACACUGAACAUUGAGCCUUGAUGUGUAGGAUAGGUGGGAGGCUUUGAAGUGUGGACGCCAGUCUGCAUGGAGCCGACCUUGAAAUACCACCCUUUAAUGUUUGAUGUUCUAACGUGGACCCGUUACCCGGGUUGCGGACAGUGUCUGGUGGGUAGUUUGACUGGGGCGGUCUCCUCCUAAAGAGUAACGGAGGAGCACGAAGGUUGGCUAAUCCUGGUCGGACAUCAGGAGGUUAGUGCAAUGGCAUAAGCCAGCUUGACUGCGAGCGUGACGGCGCGAGCAGGUGCGAAAGCAGGUCAUAGUGAUCCGGUGGUUCUGAAUGGAAGGGCCAUCGCUCAACGGAUAAAAGGUACUCCGGGGAUAACAGGCUGAUACCGCCCAAGAGUUCAUAUCGACGGCGGUGUUUGGCACCUCGAUGUCGGCUCAUCACAUCCUGGGGCUGAAGUAGGUCCCAAGGGUAUGGCUGUUCGCCAUUUAAAGUGGUACGCGAGCUGGGUUUAGAACGUCGUGAGACAGUUCGGUCCCUAUCUGCCGUGGGCGCUGGAGAACUGAGGGGGGCUGCUCCUAGUACGAGAGGACCGGAGUGGACGCAUCACUGGUGUUCGGGUUGUCAUGCCAAUGGCACUGCCCGGUAGCUAAAUGCGGAAGAGAUAAGUGCUGAAAGCAUCUAAGCACGAAACUUGCCCCGAG